rnacentral:rRNA from 1 species
AUGCUCAGUACGGCGAGUGAGCGGCAAAAGCUCAAAUUUGAAAUCUGCGUAAGCCGAGUUGUAAUUUGAAGAUGGCUACUUUGGUAAUGGCUCUUGUCUAUGUUCCUUGGAACAGGACGUCACAGAGGGUGAGAAUCCCGUGCGAUGAGAUGUCCAUUACCGUGUAAAGUGCUUUCGAAGAGUCGAGUUGUUUGGGAAUGCAGCUCUAAGUGGGUGGUAAAUUCCAUCUAAAGCUAAAUAUUGGCGAGAGACCGAUAGCGAACAAGUACAGUGAUGGAAAGAUGAAAAGAACUUUGAAAAGAGAGUGAAAAAGUACGUGAAAUUGUUGAAAGGGAAGGGCUUGAGAUCAGACUUGGUAUUUUGUAUGGCUUGCUUUCGGGCGGGUCCUCUGCAGUUUACUGGGCCAGCAUCGGUUUGGGUGGCAGGAUAAUAGCAUAGGAAUGUGGCUCUACUUCGGUGGAGUGUUAUAGCCUUUGUUGAUACUGCCUGCCUAGACCGAGGACUGCGUCUUUUGACUAGGAUGCUGGCAUAAUGAUCCUAAGCCGCCCGUCUUGAACACGGACCA